GUCUCCAAUGAGGUAGAUGGUAAGUCAGGACCGAUCUCUAGUUGUUCAUAAGAUGGUGCAGUUGCCUCAUGACAACUGGGAAGAAAGUCCCUGAAUGUGGAAGUGUGCAUUUUUACACAUCUAUACCUUUAGCCC